rnacentral:rRNA from 1 species
AGUGAACGCUGGCGGUAGGCCUAACACAUGCAAGUCGAACGGCAGCACAGUAAUAGCUUGCUCUUACGGGUGGCGACUGGCGGGUGGGUGAUGAGAACCUCCGAAUCUACUUUUUCUUGGGUGAUAACGUAGGGAAACUUACGCUAAUACCGCAUACGACCUACGGGUGAAAGCAUGGGAUCUUCGGACCUUGCGCGAUUGAAUGAGCCGAUGUCGGAUUAGCUAGUUGGCGGGGUAAAGGCCCACCAAGGCGACGAUCCGUAGCUGGUCUGAGAGGAUGAUCAGCCACACUGGAACUGAGACACGGUCCAGACUCCUACGGGAGGCAGCAGUGGGGAAUAUUGGACAAUGGGCGCAAGCCUGAUCCAGCCAUACCGCGUGGGUGAAGAAGGCCUUCGGGUUGUAAAGCCCUUUUGUUGGGAAAGAAAAGCAGCAGGUUAAUACCCCGCUGUUCUGACGGUACCCAAAGAAUAAGCACCGGCUAACUUCGUG